GCAGUUUAUGUUUCUUCCUUUUCAUGCUCGAGCACGAGCAUCAUCUAAGCAUGGGGGGAGAGUGAUCGCAUUAUCUCUGACUACUGCUGAGUAAGUAAUAUGUUGCAAAGAGUUCUAAGGAGCAAAAAGGAAAAUUGUGGAAAAAGAAACAAAGCCAAAGAAAAAAAAGAAAGAAAGAAAUAAGAAAAAGAAAAUGAGAAAUAAAGUACUCCUCGGUCCUUUGAGCUUCAGAAACAUCCCAAGUGCUUUCAAGAUUAAGGAUUAUUUCAUACUCAUUUUCUAACCAUGUGCAAUCCGAUUAUGAGAACUUCAUUUGUGUCUCACGAUCACCCUUUGCCCUUGCACAUGUCCACCAUCUAAAUGUGUGUGUUCAUCCCUCCCCCUCCACAAGCCAUUAUUUUCCAUGAGCUUUUUGAAAAGUCUCAGUAAGAUCCAUCAGAAGCCUUUCUUGUUUUAAUAAUAUCCUGAUUAUAAUAUUUUUGCUAUGACUAAC
rnacentral:lncRNA from 1 species